CCUUUCUGGGGCUCCGUAGAACUUAAAUACAUUGACUGUCCUAAAUUAGAUCAGCUGAAUAUGAAUAAUCUGUCUAAAACGGCAACAAAGUUCAUUUUUACUUUACCUUUUUAAGAUGCUAAAUGAUUUACUGUAUUAUUAUUAUACCACAGAGAGGAGUAUUAUUAUUCAACCUUGGAUGUUUUGCAUCACUAAAUCAUCGACUUAUAUAAAAAAAAAAUUAUAUAUGAUUUAUUUGUAGAAAUCUCAAAACAAGACUUUAUGUACAAUAGUCCUCACAGAUAAUAAAUGAGAGGAUAACAUAUCAGACAGUCAAAUGGUGGGGAUACACAUUACAGCUACCCAAAAAAUGUUUGUCGCUGAAAUUCCAGUCGAUUGUCGAUGCAAUUAUGAUUUAUGCAGAAUUAGUUUCUUCAGAGCGUAAUAAGAUUUUGGCCGCGAGUGGUGGCAUGGUUCGACAUGUGAUCAUGCUAUGCCAAUGAGGUAGCUGCUCUUUGUCAACAGACUGGCAAGAUGGAGGCUCCCAUGACUUCAUCGAGCAGUACGGACGACGAAGAAGAAGACACACCAGAGUGUAAUAAAUCGAAAAGCAAACAUUGUUGAAUGCAUAAUACUUCAGUCAAACACGAGGAUGUAAAUUAUUUAACCACUACUCGAUGGAAUACAUAUAGGACAAGCCUAGAAAAGUGGCUCAGGUUGAAGUGGCAGUGUCGGGACAUGGCUGAGAACUUCAAACACUGUGUUGAUUGUUGGAGUGUUGGAGUUUGACAAUAUUCCCGAGGAUGCUGCCUUCCAUCUCACGUGCUACCGUAGAUUUAGAGACAAAAACGCCAUCGCAAUGGUGGAAAGACGUCUCGCACGUGAGAGACAAGAAGCUAGGGAAGACCACAAGGCCAUUCCAUCUACUUCUAGCAGCACGAUUCCAACAAAGAAACUGCGAUCCUGUUCAGGGCUGCCAAUCGCCAACCGUCCUUCCUGCCCUGUGCAUAAUUUGCAAAUAGAAGGAGAAGUUAAUCAGCCGAGCAGGCAAACGACAAAGGGAUCCUCUCUAAAAGGCUGAAACAUUAACAGCAGUAAAGGCCAAUUGUAGAAAGCUGCCGAGUUGAAGGAAGACCAAAGUAUUCUGAUACAUAUAAAAGACUGUGUGGCUCUGGAGGUGCAGUACCACAAAGGAUGUUACAAUCAGUACACCAGGUUUUUGACGAGGCCUGAAAAACCAGAGAAAGAUAAGGAAGUUAUUUAUUAUAUUGCAUUUCAAGGAGCUACUAACUUAACAUUAUGUAAGUAAACAUUCAUCUGCAUUCUGUUGUAUGUGCACACAAUCACAACACUUAUAUAUGUGUUUGAUGUCAGCUAUAAGAUAUUCUGUGAGAGGAUAAUUCGCCACAGGCUGCUUUUCAACCAAGAGGUGCUGAGAAUGGGCCAGCUGAGGAAGGCCUUCAUUGAACUGGUGAAAGCAAAUAAAGGUCUUGAUGCUUCAAACUACAGACAGGAUAUGUUGAAGAAGAGGCUGACUCGUGAUUUCCCCCAGCUGGUGUUUCACAUCCCCACCAAGCGCAACGUGAUUUCCCCCAGCUGGUGUUUCACAUCCC